rnacentral:rRNA from 1 species
GAAGAACAGGAAAAGAUCAAGUUUAAAGAAUGUCAUGUAUCUCAGAAGCUAGAUCACUUCUCAAUGAACAAGUUAAAACUGCCCCAACAAAAAUGGAUGGAAUUAUCAGCUUCGUUAUCGACUAGGUAUCAGUGA